UACGUAGGUGGCAAGCGUUGUCCGGAUUUACUGGGCGUAAAGAGCGCGCAGGCGGUCGUUCAAGUCGCGUGUGAAAGCCCCCGGCUCAACUGGGGAGGGUCACGCGAUACUGAUCGACUGGAAGGCAGGAGAGGGUAGUGGAAUUCCCGGUGUAGUGGUGAAAUGCGUAGAUAUCGGGAGGAACACCAGUGGCGAAGGCGGCUCACUGGCCCGGUACUGACGCUGAGGUGCGAAAGCGUGGGGAGCAAACAGG
rnacentral:rRNA from 1 species